GCCGAAAUAGCUCAGUUGGGAGAGCGUUAGACUGAAGAUCUAAAGGUCCAUUGUUCAAUCCCGGGUUUCGGCA
rnacentral:tRNA from 1 species